rnacentral:rRNA from 1 species
GACGAACGCUGGCGGCGUGCUUAACACAUGCAAGUCGAACGGAAAGGCCCUGCUUUUGUGGGGUGCUCGAGUGGCGAACGGGUGAGUAACACGUGAGUAACCUGCCCUUGACUUUGGGAUAACUUCAGGAAACUGGGGCUAAUACCGGAUAGGAUCUCCUGCUGCAUGGUGGGGGGUGGAAAGUUUCGGCGGUUGGGGAUGGACUCGCGGCUUAUCAGCUUGUUGGUGGGGUAGUGGCUUACCAAGGCUUUGACGGGUAGCCGGCCUGAGAGGGUGACCGGCCACAUUGGGACUGAGAUACGGACCAGACUGCUACGGGAGGCAGCAGUGGGGAAUAUUGCACAAUGGGCGGAAGCCGGAUGCAGCAACGCCGCGUGCGGGAAGACGGCCUUCGGGUUGUAAACCGCUUUCGCCUGUGACGAAGCGUGAGUGACGGUAAUGGGUAAAGAAGCACCGGCUAACUACGUG